GCUUUCAACAUCCCCGUCCAGCUGCCCCUUGAGGCUGGCUGGACUGAAGGC
rnacentral:sRNA from 1 species